rnacentral:rRNA from 1 species
GAUGAACGCUGGCGGCGUGCCUAAUACAUGCAAGUCGAGCGAACAGAUGAGGAGCUUGCUCCUCUGACGUUAGCGGCGGACGGGUGAGUAACACGUGGAUAACCUACCUAUAAGACUGGGAUAACUUCGGGAAACCGGAGCUAAUACCGGAUAAUAUAUUGAACCGCAUGGUUCAAUAGUGAAAGACGGUUUUGCUGUCACUUAUAGAUGGAUCCGCGCCGCAUUAGCUAGUUGGUAAGGUCACGGCUUACCAAGGCAACGAUGCGUAGCCGACGUGAGAGGGUGAUCGGCCACACUGGAACUGAGACGCGGACCAGACUCCUGCGGGAGGCAGCAGUAGGGAAUCUUCCGCAAUGGGCGAAAGCCUGACGGAGCAACGCCGCGUGAGUGAUGAAGGUCUUCGGAUCGUAAAACUCUGUUAUUAGGGAAGAACAAAUGUGUAAGUAACUAUGCACGUCUUGACGGUACCUGAUCAGAAAGCCACGGCUAACUACGUG